ACGCUGGCGGCGUGCUUAACACAUGCAAGUCGAACGAGAGGAGAAGGAAGCUUGCUUCUUUCAAAUCUAGUGGCAAACGGGUGAGUAACACGUAAACAACCUGCCUUCAGGAUGGGGACAACAGACGGAAACGACUGCUAAUACCGUAUGAGGUCAUACGAUGGCAUCAGAAUAUGACGAAAGGUUUAGCGGUGAAGGAUGGGGAUGCGUCUGAUUAGCUUGUUGGUGAGGUAACGGCUCACCAAGGCGACGAUCAGUAGGGGUUCUGAGAGGAAGGUCCCCCACAUUGGAACUGAGACACGGUCCAAACUCCUACGGGAGGCAGCAGUGAGGAAUAUUGGUCAAUGGGCGGAAGCCUGAACCAGCCAAGUAGCGUGCAGGAUGACGGCCCUAUGGGUUGUAAACUGCUUUUAUGCGGGGAUAAAGUAUGGGACGUGUCCCAUUUUGCAGGUACCGCAUGAAUAAGGACCGGCUAAUUCCGUG
rnacentral:rRNA from 1 species